rnacentral:rRNA from 1 species
GCAAAUUCUUUCAGAGGUUUUCCCUUACUUUGUCCGUGUCAACAAACAAUUCGAAAUACCUCGACUUUUUCAAAACAGGUCUGA